rnacentral:rRNA from 1 species
AGCGAACGCUGACGGCAGGCCUAACACAUGCAAGUCGAACGAACUCUUCGGAGUUAGUGGCGGACGGGUGAGUAACACGUGGGAACGUGCCUUUAGGUUCGGAAUAACUCAGGGAAACUUGUGCUAAUACCGACUGUGCCCUUCGGGGGAAAGAUUUAUCGCCUUUAGAGCGGCCCGCGUCUGAUUAGCUAGUUGGUGAGGUAAAGGCUCACCAAGGCGACGAUCAGUAGCUGGUCUGAGAGGAUGAUCAGCCACAUUGGGGCUGAGACACGGCCCAUACUCCUCCGGGAGGCAGCAGUGGGGAAUCUUGCGCAAUGGGCUAAAGCCUUACGCAGCCAUGCCGCGUGAAUGAUGAAGGUCUUAGGAUUGUAAAAUUCUUUCACCGGGGACGAUAAUGACGGUACCCGGAGAAGAAGCCCCGGCUAACUUCGUGCCAGCAGCCGCCGUAA